GGUGCCCUUAUGGGAGGGCGACUUUACCGGCUACGCCACAGUGCCAGCCCCACUCCAGGUACUUUAAACACUACACUUAAGGAAGGAUUCCCAGUUCCACCUCCAGCAGUUGAUGGCACUGAGAGCAAGGGCCAAAUACUGCCGUGGCUGGAGUUGAUGCAAUGUCCAAGGGAGGAUCAGGGGUCUGCUUGCCUGCUGGGCCGGAUGGACACAUUCUCACUAAGAACUCCUGUGAGGACUCAGCCAGCUCAAGGUUGCUCCCACAACUCCAUUCCUGCAGAUGCAUUGGAGAUGACUGCUGGCCUGCGGGGUUGGAGAGGCGUGGUCUCUCACAAAUCACCCAGUGCGAUGGGGAUAGCCUCCUCCCUGUCUGCUGUCCCGAGUUUCCAUCCAGACAGGUUCGUGUCCCUACUCCCCUCUCCAUCCCACAGCCUCCACCUUUGGUUGGUGUCCUUAACUCAGUUUCUCUGGCACAGCUUUGAUCUUGUCACUCCCCUGCUUCAAGUCCUAUAG
rnacentral:lncRNA from 1 species